rnacentral:tRNA from 1 species
GCAGUGGUGGUUCAGUGGGUGAAUACUUGACUUCCAUGUGGAAGACCCAGGUUCAGUUCCUGGCCAGUGCA